GGAUAACCUGGUAAUUCUAUGGCUAAUACAUGCGCACAUACCUCUUCCCUCGUGGAAGGGUAGUGUUUAUUAGAUACAGAACCAACCCACCUUCGGGUGGUCCCCAGGUGAUUCAUAGUAACCGAACGGAUCGCAUUAUGACCUUUUGGUCGGCGAUGGAUCAUUCAAGUUUCUGACCUAUCAGCUUUCGACGGUACUGUAUUGGACUACCGUGGCAGUGACGGGUAACGGGGAAUUAGGGUUCGAUUCCGGAGAGGGAGCCUGAGAAACGGCUACCACAUCUAAGGAAGGCAGCAGGCGCGCAAAUUACCCAAUCCUGACUCAGGGAGGUAGUGACAAGAAAUAACAACACUGGAAAUUAUAUUUCUAGUGAUUGGAAUGAUGGGAAUCCAAACCCCUUUCAGAGUAACAAUUGGAGGGCAAGUCUGGUGCCAGCAGCCGCGGUAAUUCCAGCUCCAAUAGCGUAUAUUAAAGUUGUUGCAGUUAAAAAGCUCGUAGUUGGAUAUCUGCUGGGAGCAGCCAGUCCGCCUUAACGGGUGUGCACUUGGUGAAUUCUGGCAUCCUCCUGAUUGGUGUCAUCAUCACUUCAUUGUGUUGGUGGCAGCUGUCAGGACUGUUACUUUGAGAAAAUUAGAGUGUUUCAAGCAGGCUUGUUGCCUUGAAUACUGCAGCAUGGAAUAACAAGAUAGGAUUUCGGUUCUAUUUUGUUGGUUUCUAGGACUGAAGUAAUGAUUAAUAGGGACAGUUGGGGGCAUUCGUAUUUAACUGUCAGAGGUGAAAUUCUUAGAUUUGUUAAAGACGAACUACUGCGAAAGCAUUUGCC
rnacentral:rRNA from 1 species